rnacentral:tRNA from 1 species
AAUAAAGUAAGCUAAAUGUGUAAGCUGUUGGGUUCAUACCCCAAAAAUGAAUAAAUAUAUAAAAAUUUCCUUUAUUA